CUCUCGGUGGCCAAGCUGGCUAAGGCGCGAGACUGUAAUGUACUGCUAUCUUGAGAUCGGGUGUUCGACUCACCCCCGGGAGA
rnacentral:tRNA from 1 species